AAUUUUGAUGAAAAUACCAAAUAUAUCCUUCAAUAGCAAGUUAUCGUGCAAUUUAAUCCUUUGAUCAUCUCUGCACCCUAAACACGUUCAUGAGUAUGAAAUCAUAUCAAACUCAAAUACAUAUUCAUAUCGAUUCUCAAUUAACCAAUGAUGACUCCAAUGAAGAAGUAUUAGAAACUCUUUCUAAUCUCUUUCUUGCUUUUGGCCAAAAGAGUUUUUUCAAGUCAUCUAGGAUUGAGAAUAUACAGGAUGCGAUCUCCUCUUACUAGGAGUGAUCGAUUUCAUGUUGACCUACUCAUAACCUCCAUAUACACUCCACC
rnacentral:lncRNA from 1 species